AUUGAACGCUGGCGGCAUGCUUUACACAUGCAAGUCGAACGGUAACAGCACUUCGGUGGCUGACGAGUGGCGAACGGGUGAGUAAUACAUCGGAACGUGCCUAGUAGUGGGGGAUAACUACUCGAAAGAGUAGCUAAUACCGCAUGAGAUCUAAGGAUGAAAGCAGGGGACCUUCGGGCCUUGCGCUACUAGAGCGGCUGAUGGCAGAUUAGGUAGUUGGUGGGAUAAAAGCUUACCAAGCCGACGAUCUGUAGCUGGUCUGAGAGGACGACCAGCCACACUGGGACUGAGACACGGCCCAGACUCCUACGGGAGGCAGCAGUGGGGAAUUUUGGACAAUGGGCGCAAGCCUGAUCCAGCAAUGCCGCGUGCAGGAUGAAGGCCUUCGGGUUGUAAACUGCUUUUGUACGGAACGAAAAGCCCCCUUCUAAUACAGGAGGGUCAUGACGGUACCGUAAGAAUAAGCACCGGCUAACUACGUG
rnacentral:rRNA from 1 species